rnacentral:lncRNA from 1 species
AUGCUGAUUUGGCGAGAUGAAAGUAUUUCACCAAAAUCACCAAUCCGCAGCUGCACUGACCAGGAAUAUACAGCAUUUGACACAACUGGACCAGAGUCCAAGAUGGUGCCUGGGUCCCCAGGUGUAGCCAUCACAGAUAACUCGUCUCCGCCCCUCCUCCCCAGCACUCAAAGCUCAUGGCUGAUCUUCCUGGUAAGUAGCCUCCCCCUUAUCACAAACUCAGGUGUGGUCAGAGGUGGGGGGGCAGGGCGAAGCUAAGGGAAAACAAAGCCACUCCCUCAGGAAUCCCAAAGGAUUCUGAAGAAGCUCCUUCCAGGAACCCAAGCCAGGCCGAUCUUGACCCUGAUCUUGACCAGCAACACUUCAGGCUGGUCUUUGAGCAGAGAGCUGGUCUGCGGAGGGCGUGGGUGGGCACGAGAGGUGGGAGGUGCCCUUACCGGCUGCAAUGCCACCGCCUGUGUCUACGCUUGCUCUGCAUUUUGCACAAAAGCCUUUCGUCCCACACAGCUCUCUUCCCUAGGGUAUCUGUGCUCCAAAUCCUGACAGCCAAAACGGGGUAGAGGAUGAGGAAUGGUUUCAAAGCCAUAAACUCCUGGGCGUGCAGGCUGCAAAGGGGGCAGUGAGCUCAUUUGAUUGACGGCCCCCCCUCACCGCACACCCACUCCCAGACAGUGCCUUGGCGCUCAGGUGCCCCCUGCCAGUCCCCCUUCACAACUCUGUGAAGAUGAAAGAACUUGCCCAAACUAUGAUCUGAACCCGUGUUCAAUUCUGUGAGUUGGAGCCGGUGCUGUGUCGUGGGGAGUACAACCACCGCCUGCAGUGCCGACAUCCCAUAUGGACGACAGUUGAGUCCCGGCUGCUCUGCUUCUGAUCCAGCUUUCUGCUAUGGCCUGGGAAAGCAGUGGAAGAUGGCCCAAGUCCUUGGGCCCCUGCACCCACGUGGGAGACCUAGAAGAAGCUCCUGGCUCCUGGCUUUCGAUCAUCGGCCCAGCUCUGGCCAUUGUGGCCAUUUGGGGAGUGAACUAGCGGAUGGAAGACUUCUGUCUCUUCUCUGCCUCUGCCUCUCUGUAACUCUGCCUUUCAAAUAAAUAAAAUAAAUCUUUAAAAAAAAUUUCUAUG